rnacentral:rRNA from 1 species
CCUACGGGUGGCAGCAGUGGGGAAUAUUGCUCAAUGGGCGAAACCCUGAUCCAGCCAAGUAGCGUGAAGGAUGACGGCCCUCCGGGUUGUAAGCUGCUUUUAUACGGGAGUAACUCACGUUACGUGUAUAUCUUUGCCUGUCCCAUAUGAAUAAGGACCGGCUAAUUCCGUGCCAGCAGCCGCGGUAAUCCGGAGUGACCGGGCGUUAUCCGGAUUUAUUGGGUGGAGAGGGAGCGUAGGCGGCUUCGCAAGUGUGAUGUGAAAUUUCCGGGCUUAACCUGGGAACUGCAGUGCGAACUGGCGGGCUGGAGUGCGCGGGAGGCAGGCGGAAUUCGUAGUGUAGCGGUGAAAUGCGUAGAUAUGACGAAGAACCCCGAUUGCGAAGGCAGCUUGCUGAAGUGGAACUGACGUUGAUGCUCGAAAGCGUGGGUAUCGAACAGGAUUAGAUACCCCUGUAGUC